GUAAGUUUCGUUUUUGCGAAUGUCUUUUUUUAACAAUACAGUUGAAGUAAGAAGGUAAGAUCCAGCGGAUCACAGAAUGUGAGGAAUGUAACACAAACUCCAAGAAUAAGACUUGAGAAGCCCGACUUCCAGAAAAGCAGAUACUACUUCUCCAAACAGGAGUAGGAAAACAAGGGUGUGUGGCAUAUAAUAAAAAUACUUGUAUUUGUGAAAUUACAUUUAAACAAUGCAAUCAGUCUUUUGUGUAUAAUACAGCAAAUCUCUCUCCUUGGAGCAUCAGAUUGGAGGGAAAUUCACACAAAGGAAAUUCUGUGGAGUUGCUUCCCAGGUCAGUGUCAAUCCACAGAAGUUAUCCCAGACUAUAACUGUGAGAAACUUUCCCUGAACAGAGCCCUUUUUCUGAGGUAUCUGUCUUGAAGGCAGAGGGACAAUGUGACAGACUUUGUAUUGGUCUGAGGCAGGGGGACUCCAGAAGGGUAAGGCCUUCUUCCACUGCGGCCUGAAGAUGAGCCAUGCCAGAAGCCUGCAGUACAGCAACAGAAGUACAAACAAAUGGAACUUCCCGGGUGACUUGUGUGCUGAGACCACAAUACUGUGAGGAGCACUGUUUUGGGAAGGAAACACAUGCACGUUUUUCAACAGAUCCACUUUCAGUCUUUUCCCCCUCACAGAUGGAUCUGCAUGGAGCCAUUCAGGACAAGGAGAGAGGUAUGAAUUCCUCUUCCUCUUUUUUGGUGGAACCGCUAGGCCUCUCCAGUUUUCAACAGCGUCUUCAUAUGUUGGAUGGAUGUUUGUGACAUUGUCAGAUUUCCCAGAACAGGAGUUACACUGCAAGUUGUGAACAAAUUUGCAUGUCGCAAUGAAUCAUUCCACCCGAAUAGGCAAGUUUUCAUGCUUGGAAAAGGCCACGUUUGAAGUUUUUGAACUCUGCUUCAACAUUGACUAAACUUGCGGUGAUGUUGGUGCUUCGAAAGUGAGGGAUCAUUACCCCUGUCCAGAGUGGUCUGUCUGUGUUUGGUCACAUGGAUCCACUUCCAUGUCCUCAUCCUCUACAUCUGGAAUGAUGACACACUCUUCUGCAAUUCUGACUUUCAGGUAUUUCUUGCACCUUUCUGAUAUGAGGGGGGCUUCAGAACUGUCAUUGCCCUCUGCUUCGCUGAGAGCCACAACAGUAAUACUGCGCAGUACUCUUUUGCAUCGUCCAUGGAAUGUGACAUGAGAAGCUGUGCCAUUGACCUCACAAAGAAAUCUUUAAUGCAAUGUGUUUUUUUUCUUCAAGCAGUUCCAAUGGCAGAUUAAACAAGGUGGCACUUUUGCUGACUGUUUACAGAUUAAGACACCACAACACUCAUUGAUGUAGGUAUUUAGAUCAGGAUGAGGAGUAAAAGCCUUGACCAGAGCUCCGAGCAAAGCCAGAGAAAAGUCACUCACAACCUCUUUUGGAGUUGGUGCACCUGCGCGUAUCCAUUCUGUAAGCCAAAGUGUUAUUGCAUUAAUAUUGUGUCUCUCUGACAGCAUUUGCACCUCUGGGACACUUGAGCUCUCAUCCCCUGCCAGAAUGCCCUGAUAUAAGAAUAUAUGGCCAGACUUGCCAUUUGGUCUCUGUAGUUUCCUCACUGCCAGUUGCAUCAAAACUCACAGUGGGGUUAGUAGAUGUCUUUUUACAUAUACAUUUGUGUUUGACUCCAAUAGUGACAGAAAAACUUGUCCAGUCCAAUGUCUUUAAUGUGACCACUGUGCGGUGCACUGUAUUUUAACAUCUGCUGUGACACAAUGGGAUCCUUGUCGCCUAAUUCUAAAUAAAUUCUCUCUUGUUUUGCUUUGUGCAGGGUGGCCAAAUUAGGCAGAUGACUUGGCUCAGGAUCUCCAAAAUCCAUCAGCUUUGUUUCCUCUGAUGCCCUCCAUACAUGGGGUUCCAUUCUACCCUUACACAGUUCUUUGGCUAUCUGCUAUGCAAGUUACUAGAGUAAGCACACUUGGAACAGCCAGUGUGCAGGGAGUCAUCAGUGUUUUUAAAUAAACACUUGAACACCGUUGGGAUGUUCAUUUCAGGCACUCUGUCACAUUUUCUGUGAAUGUGGCCACGACACUCCUUACAGUUGCCUCUGAUUUCUAUGUAUUUCUCUGUGGCCUGUGGAUGAACACAGGACUGUGAAAAUGGAAUCUCUGUCAACUUCUGGUUUCUUGGGCAUCUGCCAUAAGCAAAACAUAAUUACCCACUUAAAUAAUCCUGACUCAAAAAAUGUCAUGUUCAGUAUAAAGUUGUUUUCAUUUCUGUAUUGGUCUGAAUAUAAGGAUAAUAU